rnacentral:rRNA from 1 species
AACGAACGCUGGCGGCAUGCCUAACACAUGCAAGUCGAACGAGACCUUCGGGUCUAGUGGCGCACGGGUGCGUAACGCGUGGGAACCUGCCCUUAGGUUCGGAAUAACUCCCCGAAAGGGGUGCUAAUACCGGAUAAUGUCUUCGGACCAAAGAUUUAUCGCCUUUGGAUGGGCCCGCGUUGGAUUAGCUAGUUGGUAGGGUAAAAGCCUACCAAGGCGACGAUCCAUAGCUGGUCUGAGAGGAUGAUCAGCCACACUGGGACUGAGACACGGCCCAGACUCCUACGGGAGGCAGCAGUGUGGAAUAUUGGACAAUGGGCGAAAGCCUGAUCCAGCAAUGCCGCGUGAGUGAUGAAGGCCUUAGGGUUGUAAAGCUCUUUUACCCGGGAUGAUAAUGACAGUACCGGGAGAAUAAGCGCCGGCUAACUCCGUG